rnacentral:rRNA from 1 species
GUGAACUCGAAGAGUAGGGCGGGACACGUGGUAUCCUGUCUGAAUAUGGGGGGACCAUCCUCCAAGGCUAAAUACUCCUGACUGACCGAUAGUGAACCAGUACCGUGAGGGAAAGGCGAAAAGAACCCCGGCGAGGGGAGUGAAAAAGAACCUGAAACCGUGUACGUACAAGCAGUGGGAGCACCUUCGGGUGUGACUGCGUACCUUUUGUAUAAUGGGUCAGCGACUUAUAUUCUGUAGCAAGGUUAACCGUAUAGGGGAGCCGCAGGGAAACCGAGUCUUAACUGGGCGUUAAGUUGCAGGGUAUAGACCCGAAACCCGGUGAUCUAGCCAUGGGCAGGUUGAAGGUUGGGUAACACUAACUGGAGGACCGAACCGACUAAUGUUGAAAAAUUAGCGGAUGACUUGUGGCUGGGGGUGAAAGGCCAAUCAAACCGGGAGAUAGCUGGUUCUCCCCGAAAGCUAUUUAGGUAGCGCCUCGUGAACUCAUCUUCGGGGGUAGAGCACUGUUUCGGCUAGGGGGUCAUCCCGACUUACCAACCCGAUGCAAACUACGAAUACCGAAGAAUGUUAUCACGGGAGACACACGGCGGGUGCUAACGUCCGUCGUGAAGAGGGAAACAACCCAGACCGCCAGCUAAGGUCCCAAAGUCAUGGUUAAGUGGGAAACGAUGUGGGAAGGCACAGACAGCCAGGAUGUUGGCUUAGAAGCAGCCAUCAUUUAAAGAAAGCGUAAUAGCUCACUGGUCGAGUCGGCCUGCGCGGAAGAUGUAACGGGGCUAAACCAUGCACCGAAGCUGCGGCAGCGACACUAUGUGUUGUUGGGUAGGGGAGCGUUCUGUAAGCCUGUGAAGGUGACCUGUGAGGGUUGCUGGAGGUAUCAGAAGUGCGAAUGCUGACAUAAGUAACGAUAAAGCGGGUGAAAAGCCCGCUCGCCGGAAGACCAAGGGUUCCUGUCCAACGUUAAUCGGGGCAGGGUGAGUCGACCCCUAAGGCGAGGCCGAAAGGCGUAGUCGAUGGGAAACAGGUUAAUAUUCCUGUACUUGGUGUUACUGCGAAGGGGGGACGGAGAAGGCUAUGUUAGCCGGGCGACGGUUGUCCCGGUUUAAGCAUGUAGGCUGGUUGUCCAGGCAAAUCCGGAUAAUCAAGGCUGAGGUGUGAUGACGAGGCACUACGGUGCUGAAGUAACAAAUGCCCUGCUUCCAGGAAAAGCCUCUAAGCAUCAGGUAACAUCAAAUCGUACCCCAAACCGACACAGGUGGUCAGGUAGAGAAUACCAAGGCGCUUGAGAGAACUCGGGUGAAGGAACUAGGCAAAAUGGUGCCGUAACUUCGGGAGAAGGCACGCUGGUGUGUAGGUGAAGCCCCUGCGGGUGGAGCUGAGACCAGUCGAAGAUACCAGCUGGCUGCAACUGUUUAUUAAAAACACAGCACUGUGCAAACACGAAAGUGGACGUAUACGGUGUGACGCCUGCCCGGUGCCGGAAGGUUAAUUGAUGGGGUUAUCCGUAAGGAGAAGCUCUUGAUCGAAGCCCCGGUAAACGGCGGCCGUAACUAUAACGGUCCUAAGGUAGCGAAAUUCCUUGUCGGGUAAGUUCCGACCUGCACGAAUGGCGUAAUGAUGGCCAGGCUGUCUCCACCCGAGACUCAGUGAAAUUGAACUCGCUGUGAAGAUGCAGUGUACCCGCGGCAAGACGGAAAGACCCCGUGAACCUUUACUAUAGCUUGACACUGAACAUUGAGCCUUGAUGUGUAGGAUAGGUGGGAGGCUUUGAAGCGUGGACGCCAGUCUGCGUGGAGCCAACCUUGAAAUACCACCCUUUAAUGUUUGAUGUUCUAACGUUGGCCCCUGACCGGGGUUGCGGACAGUGUCUGGUGGGUAGUUUGACUGGGGCGGUCUCCUCCCAAAGCGUAACGGAGGAGCACGAAGGUUAGCUAAUCCUGGUCGGACAUCAGGAGGUUAGUGCAAUGGCAUAAGCUAGCUUGACUGCGAGCGUGACGGCGCGAGCAGGUGCGAAAGCAGGUCAUAGUGAUCCGGUGGUUCUGAAUGGAAGGGCCAUCGCUCAACGGAUAAAAGGUACUCCGGGGAUAACAGGCUGAUACCGCCCAAGAGUUCAUAUCGACGGCGGUGUUUGGCACCUCGAUGUCGGCUCAUCACAUCCUGGGGCUGAAGUAGGUCCCAAGGGUAUGGCUGUUCGCCAUUUAAAGUGGUACGCGAGCUGGGUUUAGAACGUCGUGAGACAGUUCGGUCCCUAUCUGCCGUGGGCGCUGGAGAAUUGAGGGGGGCUGCUCCUAGUACGAGAGGACCGGAGUGGACGCAUCACUGGUGUUCGGGUUGUCAUGCCAAUGGCACUGCCCGGUAGCUAAAUGCGGAAGAGAUAAGUGCUGAAAGCAUCUAAGCACGAAACUUGCCCCGAGAUGAGUUCUCCCUGAGACUAUAAGUCUCCUGAAGGAACGUUAAAGACGAUGACGUUGAUAGGCCGGGUGUGUAAGCGCAGCGAUGCGUUGAGCUAACCGGUACUAAUGAACCGUGAGGCUUAACCUU